GAUGAACGCUAGCGGCAGGCCUAACACAUGCAAGUCGAGGGAGAAGCCCUUUCGGGGGCAGAAACCGGCGCACGGGUGCGUAACGCGUAUGCAACCUACCUUUCACAGGGGGAUAGCCCGAAGAAAUUUGGAUUAAUACCCCAUAAUAUUAUUGGAUGGCAUCAUUUGAUAAUUAAAACUGCGGUGGUGAAAGAUGGGCAUGCGUCCUAUUAGCUAGUUGGAGUGGUAACGGCACCCCAAGGCUACGAUAGGUAGGGGUCCUGAGAGGGAGAUCCCCCACACUGGUACUGAGACAGGGACCAGACUCCUACGGGAGGCAGCAGUGAGGAAUAUUGGGAAAUGGUCGGAAGACUGAACCAGCCAUGCCGCGUGCAGGAAGAAUGCCUUAUGGGUUGUAAACUGCUUUUAGAUGGGAAGAAUAAGGCGUACGUGUACGUUGAUGACGGUACCAUAUGAAUAAGCAGCGGCUAACUCCGUG
rnacentral:rRNA from 1 species